ensembl:lncRNA
GCAUAUGGAAGUUCCCAGGCUAGGGGUCACAGUGGAGGUAUAGCUCCCUGCCUACACCACAACCACACAGGAUCUGAGCCUUAUGUGUGACCUACACUGCUACUGGUAGCAGUGCCACGUCCCUAACCUACUGAGAGGGGCAGGGAUCAAACCCACAGACUCCCAGACACAGUGUUGGGUCCUUAACCCACUGAGCCGCAACAGGAACUCCAAGUUCUGUGUUUAACACUGCCCAAGCCUUUGGCUGAGCUCUGAACCACACACGCACACCAAACAGAUGGUGGAAACACACUAAGCUGCUGCCCUAGAGACAGAGCUUGCCCUUUUGAGCUCUAACAAGUGCAUUGACUGCCAGGAAACAAAAAACAAAACCACUCUUCUUAGCAUGUGACAUAACCCACAGUUUCCUCAACACAACAUUCACAAGGUCUGAGAAACAGUCCAAAAUGACUCCGCAUAGGAAACCUAGCAGCAUCUGACCUAGUGGCCUGACUUCCUGCUCCAGGAGAGGCGGUGAGGUGUGGCACUUCCCAAGGUGAGGGUCCUUAGGACCUCUUUUAAAGUCCAGGAUGUCAAAACUAUUUUUGUAAGAUGCUGAGAUAUAUGAUCUGCCUUUUUUCCUUCUCACUCUUUCAAAUGUACAAGUGUAGAGUUUUCUAGAAACUAUAGGACACAGGAUGUUAAGAGAUAUUCCAUGUGAAAGUAGAUGGCCUUCUACUAAGCCAGACAUUGAAGAAUUUCACCAAAAUGUGAAAUCUUGCUAAUUCUUUUCUCAUUGUGAAAAUGUAGUUUUUUCAUAAAAUCAUAGGAUCUUGUUAGUUUUUUUAGGGCUGCACCUGAGGCAUAUGAAGGUUCCCAGGCUAGGGGUCAAAUUGGAGCUGUAGCCACCAGCCUACACCACAGCCACAGCAACUUGGGAUCUGAGCCGUGUCUGCAACCUACACUACAGCUCAUGGCAAUGCCGGAUCCUUGACCCACUGGGCAAGGCCAGGGAUCGAACCCUCAUUCUUAUGGAUGCAGGUUGCAGUCAUCACCACUGAGCCACAACGGGAAGUCUAAAACUGAUAAGCUAUUUUUGAAAAAUUUCUUUGUUUUAAUUUCUAGUAUGGUAGGUAUUGUCUGUCUACAUAAACAAAAGCUCUCUGGGGUCCUCACUAAGCUGGAGAAGGAUAAGGGGUUCUGAGACCAGAGUUUGAGAACGGCUGGUGUGAGGCAGUUACUCUCAAACUCCAAUCUGCAUCAGCAUCACCUGAGGAGCUUGUUAAAAAUGAUUGCUACGCCCCACCCCCUGCAUUUCUGAUUCAGGAGGUCUGCGGCGGGGCCUAGAUAAGGUGCGUUUCUUACAAGCUUCCAGCUGCUGCUGAUCUGGGGCCCCACUCUGGUGGAAGGGAUGCUUGAAGUACAGAGCCGACCCCUGCAGGACCAAGGCAUUCACUUUCCAUCCCAGCUGCCACGGGCCUUGCCGGCUGGAGGGCUUACAGCUGAGUCCCGCUGCAGGCAUUGCUCUGGGCAGAGGAAGCAGCCUAUCUACCCCCACACUCGUUCAUGGAUAUCUAUGAACUGAUUCCCCCGAAAAUAUUCCAAGUAGGAGUUACUCCUUCCUGGGGAUGGUUUAGACAGCCCACAUCCCAUGACUGUGUGAUGCGGCAUACAAAGGCCGGGCCCUGUGACCCAGAGCUGCACAGCACUGAAGAGGGCUGGGGCUCCCCAGAGGAUCAGCCUGGGCUCUCGACGCACCUAUGUCACAGGUCCACACCUCCUAGGUGUCGUUGCCAACAGCACCCCCUAAUAAACACAAAUCUCCAUUUCAGAAUCACCCUGACGCCUGGCCACCGCACCUACAGCAAGUGGAGCAAAGGACAGACCUGCUUGUAGCCUCUGUAGUCUCCGGUGUCUCUGACGGCAGAGUGGCAGUUCUUCCGAUGCCCAGACUCGGCUUUUCUGUGUGUCUGAGCAAGUGUGAGGCUCACUGUCUCUAGUUCUGGGCGUGUGGGUUCUCCCAUCAAGCAUUUCGGUUGGUAGGCGGAGUCCUGGUGGGAUGGUCCCGGCAGGGACCAGGGUUACUAUCCUGACGAUGGUGCUGGAGCCGGCCCACUCCAGCUCACAGGUGCUGAUGGUUACAUUUUGGGGCAUCUUCUAAGCCGUUUGUUAAACAUGACCAUGUUAAGUUAUAUAAAUUUAUGAUUAAAUAAAUUAUAUUUUAAAAGGUUUUAAAAAAUGGAGUUCCCAUUGUGACUCAGCAGGUUAAAAACCAAAUAUAGUGUCCAUGAGAAUACGGGUUUGAUCCCUGGCCUCACUCAGUGGGUUAGGAACCCAUUAUUGUUGCAAGCUGUUGUGGAGGUUGCAGAUGCAACUCAGAUCCACCAUUGCUGUGGCUGUGGUGUAGGCUCCAGCAGCAGCUCCAAUUCGACCCCUAGUCCAGGAACUUCCAUAUGCCUCAGGUGUGGCCCUAAAAGAAAAAAAAAAUGAAAAAAGCAAAGCCAAGUAGCCAGGAGGUAAAAGAGUUGCUAAGAAUUGUGGGAGAACAGCCGGUGAGAGGCUGAGUUGCUAUCUUGGAUCUCUGCUCAGAAACUGCCCAUUUCAGCUCCUCUCACCUGGAGACCAUCAGAAGCUCCAUUCCUCUUAGCUCUUCGCUGAUGGCAACUCUACGCCUUCCCCACUAGGGCAGUUGGAAUUACCACCUCCUAUCUAAUCACCUGGUCUACCUAUUCACAGCUGAUGCAGACUCCGUGCUGAGCACUGGGAUAGGGCAGACAGGACACUGACUUUGAGUAGCUCAAGUCUAACAGAGACAUGUACACAUGUCAUAAAAUGCAGUGACACAUACACAUUGUAAUAAAAAGACAACCUCAUAAAUGUCUGUUGCACAGAACUGGAAGCCUCAGGUGAUGGAUGGUCUAUCAGAGAAAACCUCACAGAGGAGAGAACACAUAAGCUAUGGUUUCCAGAACGGCAGGGAUCUUGCUGAGGAGGGGGCAACUGGAAAGAACAUUAUGGGCAAAGGCACAGAGGUAAUGCAGGAUAUAGCAUUUGAUGGGGUCACGGGGACUGCAGAGCUGCCCACGCUCUCCCCUGCUCCCUGAAGACCACAUGUUGUCCGCUCAACAUUAGGUCUGCAGGCAUCAGAGAGAGGCCAGCUGGCUUACGUGGGAAUCACAGCCCUGACUAAGGCCAUGCUCACAGGCUCUUGUAAUCCUCUGAGCUAAUUGAACACUUUCUAUAUUUGUGUGCUCUCACAUCUCUGUAUGAUGAUUCAGAGGUUUUUACGAUUAAUCUCAUAUUGGAAGGAGCAUCUGUGAACUGACUCUGCUGAAAAUUUUCCAAAGAUAGGAUGUAUUCCUUGUUGGGGAUGGUUUAGACAGAUGUGCUGGGUGGAAGGUGUUGAGAGGGUAUUAGAUGACCCACAACCUUUGCUCUCUGGCUCGAGGAUCAAGUCCAAAGUUGAUCCACUGAUCCUCAGCUUGGAACAAUUGGUUUGGAUGGAUUAAAAUCCUGGCAAAGGUCCCAGAAGCUCCAGCAGCCUGUGUUUAAAAGUUCUUCCAUUUCCCAUAUAUUGAAAGAGGAGAUUACUGUGGCAUUGAAACCAGGAUGGAGGGCAGGUCCCCCAGACCUCUGUGGAGCCAGAGCUUCCAGCUUUUUUCUCUGGGACCAAGAGGCUUCAGUGAGCAGCCAGGAGCAAUAGCAGACACCACAAUGCAGCCAAAGGAGAAGGCACUAUCUCAGCUGUCACAUCAAUGGGGAAGACUGACAGGAUCCAAGUUGGCAAGUCCUAAGCCUUUCGGUUCUAUCACACCAUAAUAAAUGUGCUUGCAUUUCUACCUCCCUGGUAAGACUGCCAGCUCCUUGAGGGCACAGAUUGCAUCCGGUUUGCCUCUGGGUUCCAAGCACCAGGUAGAUGGAUGAAUGGAUGGAUAGCUGAUCAAUCUUAUAGGAGCUUACUUUGAAAAAUGGAACUUUAAAAUGUUUAGUAAACACUUAGCUACAUGCAGGGCACAUUCCUAAGCAUUUUUUUAAUCUUCAUAGUCCUUCUAUGAGACAUGUAUCAUGAGUAUCCCUACUUUACAAAGGAGGAGACUCUCCCUUAGAAAAGAUCUCCUUUCUCAAGAUCACACAGCUAAUAAGAGGAAGACCCAAGAUUCAGAUCCAUCCUUCUGGCACCAGAGUCUUAAUAUCAAGCACCCCUGAGAAAGGACAGUGCCCUAGUGGCACAGCUAUUGAUGGGAGGGAGUGUGAUUCCUGGGGGGAGUGGAUCGAAAUGGAAGGCUAAUGGAUGGUUACCACCUACAAGGGGGAUGUGAGAAUGUUCCAGAAAGGAGGGCAGGGUGAGCAGAAGAGGGUUGAGACUGUGGCCGUCUAUGCCAGUCAGUGAGACGAUGAAAGGAGAACAGUGUUGAAGGCAUAGCUGGGGCUAAAUGUGGCUCACACUUCACCUUCUUCCUUGGCUAAUCCCCUGGGGUCUGUCCAUUUAGCUGAACAGAGAGGUCAGGCCUGCAUCUGAGGUAGCUGCCUGCCUGCCUGAUCCCUUGGUUUAGCCAGCCUUGCUGGAGGUCUCCACAGGGGCUAGCACUGCCAUUGUGAGAGGCCACGAAAAUAGGCUGACUCAGAGGCAGAUCUGCAAGGAAGCAGGAAGCCACUUGGAAUGCUUGCCGAGAGGAACCGCAGUACUCCGUGUUCAAUUAGAAAGCGUAACAAAAGAGGGCACUUGGAGCAAGCUACAAGGCAAAGGAAAACCAUUCCAUUAUGUGUGAGAACGGGGUGUGAUGCUCCCCAUUUCAGAUUAGGAGGUUAGCCCGUCUAAGGCAUCAUCAGCAUGGAUGCUGAGGACUCUGCGAAGGGGUAGAGAGAAUCUACAGACAGAAUAAGGUCUACAUGCCAGGAAAUGUGCCAGGCACUCCAUAUGCGUCACCCAAUUAAAUUCCUAGAACACGUCUAUGAGGAUACUGAGAUUCAGAAAGGUUAAGUGACUUAGCUAAGAUCAUCUAGCUUUUAAGCUGUUGAGUCAUACCUGAAAGCCAGUGCUAUCAGGCGCCAAGUGCUUUGCACAACAAAAGUAUUCUACAUAAUCUCCUGUCUGGAGUAGAAUAUGAUCUGCUCCAGUGAAAACCAGGUGUCCCGAAUGUUAGCCCUAUGAGAACACUCCAGGUCAUGCAAAGUGUGGGGAACGAGAAAGGCGACUGGAUCGGUUGUGAGAAAACCUGAGCUAUAGUUACUUGACCUUUUGAUAAGUAAAUGUAUGACACUUUUUAAAUGUGAAUGGAUUACAUGUAAAGAAAUUACAGUGACUAGCACACAACUAAUAUAUAAUAAAUGUAACUUUUUGUUUGUUUGUUUGUUUGUUUUGUCUUUCUAGGGCUGCACCCUUGGCAUAUGGAAGUUCCCAGGCUAGGGAUCCAACAGGAACUGCAGCCGCUGGCCUACACCACAUCCACAGCAAUGCAGGAUCCGAGCUGCAUCUUCAACCUACACCACAGCUCGUGGCAAUGCCGGAUCCUUAACCCAUUGAGCAAGGCCAGGAAUCGAACCUGAAUCCUCAUAGAUGCUAGUCAGGUUCGUUAACUGCUGAGCCAUGAUGGGAACUCCUAAUGUGUGACUAUUUGAAGCAUUAAAAUUUGCUUGGAGAGUUCUAAAAUAGUUUCAUGGUUGGGAAUUAUAACAGUAGACAAUCAUUAAAGUCCUUUCAGGUUCUAAAACUGUAUAAUUCUUUCUGCCUUCUCCAUCUUGACCUUCAAGAUUUUCCUGAAAAUUUAUAAAUUACACAAAAAAUAUAAAACUCAGUUCUAAUCCCCCUCCUUAGGGGCAUCCACAGUUGAUUU